rnacentral:lncRNA from 1 species
GAUCAAAUUUCUAUAAGGUGACACAUAAGAUAGAUUGAGCAAUAUUUAAAAGAAAUUAGCCGAACCAGAUUGAGGUAUAGGUCAAGUUACAAAUAUCUAGGAUAUAGGCUGAUUCCAUGUAUAGCCUAUUACAGAGGAUAAUUAUUAAAGUGAUAGAUUAUGAUUUAUGCUAAGUCAUGAGGCUAAUAUAGAAUGGUACCUUGAAAGCAGGAUGUGAGAGGAGGAAGUGGUUGCUAAA